rnacentral:lncRNA from 1 species
CUUGAUCCCAUCAAGCUGUCAGUCAUCAUGAAUCAAUACACUUUUUUUGAUGCAGGGUCUCAAGAUGUAGCACAGACUGGUCUUGAACUCACAGCAGUCCUCCUGCCUCUGCCUCCCAGAUGCUGGGAUUACAGGAAUGCACCAUCUCAUCCAGCCAUAACACUUUUUAAGCAGUGCAUUCUGGGGGAUGGAGUACCGAAGCUUCUUAGCGGCCGCUCCACAUUGCCACUUUAGUCAUGAUUCCAGUGAGCAAAGAAAGUGGCAAAGGAAGGCAUGUGCCUGGAUCUGU